rnacentral:rRNA from 1 species
GAUGAACGCUGGCGGCGUGCCUAAUACAUGCAAGUCGAGCGAACGGACGAGAAGCUUGCUUCUCUGAUGUUAGCGGCGGACGGGUGAGUAACACGUGGAUAACCUACCUAUAAGACUGGGAUAACUUCGGGAAACCGGAGCUAAUACCGGAUAAUAUUUUGAACCGCAUGGUUCAAAAGUGAAAGACGGUCUUGCUGUCACUUAUAGAUGGAUCCGCGCUGCAUUAGCUAGUUGGUAAGGUAACGGCUUACCAAGGCAACGAUGCAUAGCCGACCUGAGAGGGGGAUCGGCCACACUGGAACGGAGACACGGUCCAGACUCCUACGGGAGGCAGCAGUAGGGAAUCGUCCGCAAUGGGCGAAAGCCUGACGGAGCAACGCCGAGUGAGUGAUGAAGGUCUUCGGAUCGUAAAACUCUGUUAUGAGGGAAGAACAUAUGUGUAAGUAACUGUGCACAGCUUGACGGUACCUAAUCAGAAAGCCACGGCUAACUACGUG